CCUACGGGAGGCAGCAGUGGGGAAUUUUGGACAAUGGGCGAAAGCCUGAUCCAGCAAUGCCGCGUGCAGGAAGAAGGCCUUCGGGUUGUAAACUGCUUUUGUACGGAACGAAACGGUCUGCUUUAAUACAGUGGGCUAAUGACGGUACCGUAAGAAUAAGCACCGGCUAACUACGUGCCAGCAGCCGCGGUAAUACGUAGGGUGCGAGCGUUAAUCGGAAUUACUGGGCGUAAAGCGUGCGCAGGCGGUUAUAUAAGACAGUUGUGAAAUCCCCGGGCUCAACCUGGGAAUUGCAUCUGUGACUGUAUAGCUAGAGUACGGUAGAGGGGGAUGGAAUUCCGCGUGUAGCAGUGAAAUGCGUAGAUAUGCGGAGGAACACCGAUGGCGAAGGCAAUCCCCUGGACCUGUACUGACGCUCAUGCACGAAAGCGUGGGGAGCAAACAGGAUUAGAUACCCUGGUAGUCCACGCCCUAAACGAUGUCAACUGGUUGUUGGGUGCAUUAGUACUCAGUAACGAAGCUAACGCGUGAAGUUGACCGCCUGGGGAGUACGGCCGCAAGGUUGAAACGUCAAAGGAUUGACGGCNGAGAGNGCGAGGACGACGACGAGGGAGGAGG
rnacentral:rRNA from 1 species